AUGGCCGGCGCGUCCUCGCCGCCCCCGACGCCCAAGUCGCCCAAGCUGCAGCCGCCGCUCCUGGAGCGCGCCAAGGGCCCCUCUGGCCUCGACAAGAUCGUGCUCCGCGACCCCCGCGGGUUCACCGCCGAGGUCCGUCUAUAUGGAGGGCAAGUUACCUCUUGGAAGAAUGAGCAGGGGGAUGAGUUACUUUUUGUAAGCAGCAAGGCAAUUUUCAAGUCUCCAGGAGCAAUUCGUGGUGGCAUACCCAUCUGCUUCCCCCAGUUUGGAACACAUGGAAAUCUUGAAAAACAUGGAUUUGCAAGGAACCGGCUAUGGCUCGUUGAUGAUAAUCCUCCACCGCUCCCAGUAAACAGCGGUAUUAAAACUUAUGCAGAUCUCAUUCUGAAGCCUUCUGAAGAAGAUCUCAAGAUCUGGCCUCACAGAUUCGAAUUCCGGUUAAGAGUUGCUCUUGGACCCAAAGGAGAUUUGUUUCUCACUUCUCGAAUUAGAAACACCAACACUGAUGGAAAGCCUUUCUCAUUUACAUUUGCAUAUCAUACAUACUUCUCCGUGUCUGACAUAAGCUUCCCUGUUCCAAUGCAUCAUAAUUCAAAACUUUAUUAUGUGCUUACUGAAACUGCAAAAUUCCUUAGCGAAGUACGUAUUGAAGGGCUGGAAACAAUGGACUACUUUGACAACCUGAAGGGAAAAGAGCGAUUCACGGAGCAGGGGGAUGCUCUUGUGUUUGAAUCAGAGAUUGAUAAAGUAUAUCUGGACACACCACCAAAAAUUGCAAUUAUUGAUCAUGAGAAGAAAAGAACAUUUGUGCUCAGGAAAGAUGGUCUUCCAGAUGCUGUUGUAUGGAACCCAUGGGAGAGGAGGUCAAAAACCAUUCUUGAUUUUGGUGAUGAAGAAUAUAAGCACAUGUUGUGUGUGGAACCUGCAGCUGUGGAGAAGCCCAUUACCUUGAAGCCUGGUGAAGAGUGGAAAGGAAGGUUGGAGCUCUCAGCUGUUCCUUCCAGUUACUAUAGUGGCCAGUUAGAUCCAGACAAGGUUCUUCAUGGUUGA
rnacentral:rRNA from 1 species